rnacentral:rRNA from 1 species
UACGGAGGGUGCAAGCGUUAAUCGGAAUUACUGGGCGUAAAGCGUGCGUAGACGGUUAUUUAAGUCAGAUGUGAAAGCCCCGGGCUCAACCUGGGAAUUGCAUUUGAGACUGAAUAGCUAGGGUGCGGUAGAGGGAAGCGGAAUUUCCGGUGUAGCGGUGAAAUGCGUAGAUAUCGGAAGGAACAUCAGUGGCGAAAGCGGCUUCCUGGACCAGCACCGACGUUCAGGCACGAAAGCGUGGGGAGCAAACAGG